GCAAGUCGAGCGAGAAAGCACUUCGGUGCGAGUACAGCGGCGGACGGGUGAGUAACGCGUAGGAAUCUACCUGGUAGUGGGGGACAACUUGUGGAAACGCAAGCUAAUACCGCAUACGCCCUAAGGGGGAAAGCGGGGGAUCUUCGGACCUCGUGCUAUUUGAUGAGCCCGUGUAAGAUUAGCUUGUUGGUGGGGUAAUGGCCCACCAAGGCGACGAUCUUUAGCUGGUCUGAGAGGAUGAUC
rnacentral:rRNA from 1 species